UUCUAAUUCAAACCCAUGUUAAAGAAUGUUGGCUAGCUGUUUCUAGAGAUACCUGAGGAAAUAUGUGUUGAUUGAUGGAGGGUACAUCAAGGCAGUGUCACUGAGUGCUGCCAUAGGUACUCAGCCAAACCCCUCAAGCUUUGGUCCUGUUUCUGCUGUGUGAGUGUUACUGAGCUCACAGUCCUCGUGCUGUGCAUGAGGUGGUCUCCAUUCUGUAUUCUGCGAAGUGAUGAUAAAAGCCUGUAGCUCACCUACAGUGCAGCAGAGCUGCAAAUGAGAAAUAAAAUGGACACAUCAGUAAGCCAGACUUGGUCUGAUUAGUAAAUUAUACUCCUUUGAACCUGUAAUGCUACUCGUUUUGGUUUUUAGGAGUGUGCUUUCAACUAAAAAUCUAGUUGGCCUUUAAAAUGUACUAGAACACAAAUUUGAUAGAGAAAUCCAACAAUCUUCAAUCCAAAAUCAGUUUUGAAUGAAGUAAAGCAGUGCAUUUCUGUAUGUAUUCAGAAUAUUCUUUUAAUGUCUGACAUUCCAUGUAGUUCUGACCACCUCCAAACAUUUCUAAAGGAGCUCUUAAUAAAGAGACUUAACUCAUGUAAUGUUACAUGCUGUGCUUCAUUGUAAAUUGAGUAUGAUCCUGAAUUUGUUUGUUUAUUUACAGAGGAAUGGAAUGUUCUGCAGGUGCUGCAGCUCCAUGAUUUCUAUCAAAAGGGCAUCUUACUAGGUGUUAGCCAGACUGGUUUCUUUCCUCCCUAAAGUAACGGAAGAUUGGACCCUUCCUUUGAUGAGCACAGGCAGAUUAUGUAUUAUACAUUCAAGCUCAUGGCUGACCUUUGGAGAUGCAUAAAUGAAAAAAGCAGCUGUUUGAAUUGCACUUUCCAGUCUCUUGGGAUCCAAAAUUGGGAUGCUAUUUAAUACGUGCUUAUUU
rnacentral:lncRNA from 1 species